AGCAUCUUAACGCGCUCGAUCUCGUCAGAUCUCGGAAGCAAAGCAGGGUCGGGCCUGGUUAGUACUUGGAUGGGAUACCGCUUGGGACUACCGGGUG
rnacentral:rRNA from 1 species